GAUGAACGCUAGCGGCAGGCUUAACACAUGCAAGUCGAGGGGCAGCAUAAUGAAGUAGCAAUACGGAAUUGAUGGCGACCGGCGCACGGGUGCGUAACGCGUAUGUAACCUACCUCUAACAGGGGGAUAACACUGAGAAAUUGGUACUAAUACCCCAUAACACUUGAUAGGGCAUCCUAUUGAGUUGAAAGUUCCGGCGGUUAGAGAUGGACAUGCGUUGUAUUAGCUAGAUGGUGAGGUAACGGCUCACCAUGGCGACGAUACAUAGGGGGACUGAGAGGUUAACCCCCACACUGGUACUGAGACACGGACCAGACUCCUACGGGAGGCAGCAGUGAGGAAUAUUGGUCAAAUGGACGCAAGUCUGAACCAGCCAUGCCGCGUGCAGGAUGACGGCUCUAUGAGUUGUAAACUGCUUUUGUACAAGGGUAAACCCCGAUACGUGUAUCGGGCUGAAAGUACUGUACGAAUAAGGAUCGGCUAACU
rnacentral:rRNA from 1 species